AUGAGAAGCUUCGACCAAGGUGCGACUCGAGCGCCAGCGAGAAAGCGUUGCCGCAGGCAACGACCCGAAGGGUGAAGCGCGCAGCGCUGAGUAAUCCUUCCCCCACCACCA
rnacentral:sRNA from 1 species